rnacentral:rRNA from 1 species
AGCGAACAUUGGCGGUAGGCUUAACACAUGCAAGUCGAGCGAGGCGUAAUAGUCGAGCGGCGAACGGGUGAGUAAUACAUGGGAAUCUACCUCGAAGGGGGGGAUAACAGCCAGAAAUGGCUGCUAAUACCGCAUAAUCCGGGAACGGGAAAGCGCGCUGCGCUUUGAGAUGAGCCCAUGGCUGAUUAGCUAGUUGGUGGGGUAAAGGCCUACCAAGGCGACGAUCAGUAGCUGGUCUGAGAGGAUGAUCAGCCACACUGGAACUGAGACACGGUCCAGACUCCUACGGGAGGCAGCAGUGGGGAAUCUUGCGCAAUGGGGGCAACCCUGACGCAGCCAUACCGCGUGUGCGAUGAAGGUCUUCGGAUUGUAAAGCACUUUCAGUAGGGACGACGAUGACGGUACCUACAGAAGAAGUCACGGCUAACUUCGUGCCAGCCGCCGCAGUAA